CCUACGGGCGGCAGCAGUGAGGAAUAUUGGUCAAUGGACGAGAGUCUGAACCAGCCAAGUAGCGUGAAGGAUGACUGCCCUAUGGGUUGUAAACUUCUUUUAUAUGGGAAUAAAAUGUUCCACGUGUGGCUUUUUGUAUGUACCAUAUGAAUAAGGAUCGGCUAACUCCGUGCCAGCAGCCGCGGUAAUACGGAGGAUCCGAGCGUUAUCCGGAUUUAUUGGGUUUAAAGGGAGCGUAGGUGGGUUGUUAAGUCAGUUGUGAAAGUUUGCGGCUCAACCGUAAAAUUGCAGUUGAUACUGGCAGUCUUGAGUACAGUAGAGGUGGGCGGAAUUCGUGGUGUAGCGGUGAAAUGCUUAGAUAUCACGAAGAACUCCGAUUGCGAAGGCAGCUUACUAAACUGCCACUGACAUUGAUGCUCGAAAGUGUGGGUAUCAAACAGGAUUAGAUACCCUUGUAGUC
rnacentral:rRNA from 1 species